rnacentral:rRNA from 1 species
AUUGAACGCUGGCGGCAUGCUUUACACAUGCAAGUCGAACGGUAACAGGGUGCUUGCACCGCUGACGAGCGGCGAACGGGUGAGUAAUGCGUCGGAACGUGCCGAGUAGUGGGGGAUAACGCAGCGAAAGUUGUGCUAAUACCGCAUAUUCUGUGAGCAGGAAAGCAGGGGAUCGCAAGACCUUGCGCUGAUUGAGCGGCCGAUGUCAGAUUAGCUAGUUGGUGAGGUAAAGGCUCACCAAGGCGACGAUCUGUAGCGGGUCUGAGAGGAUGAUCCGCUACACUGGGACUGAGACACGGCCCAGACUCCUACGGGAGGCAGCAGUGGGGAAUUUUGGACAAUGGGGGCAACCCUGAUCCAGCCAUGCCGCGUGAGUGAAGAAGGCCUUCGGGUUGUAAAGCUCUUUCGGCCGGGAAGAAAUCGCACAGGCUAAUACCUUGUGUGGAUGACGGUACCGGAAUAAGAAGCACCGGCUAACUACGUGCCAGCCGCCGCCGUAACAC